AGUGAACGCUGGCGGCAGGCCUAACACAUGCAAGUCGAACGGCAGCACAGUAAGAGCUUGCCCCUACGGGUGGCGAGUGGCGGACGGGUGAGGAAUACAUCGGAAUCUUCUUUUUCGUGGGGGAUAACGUAGGGAAACUUACGCUAAUACCGCAUACGAUCUACGGGUGAAAGCAGGGGAUCUUCGGACCCUGCGCGACUGAAUGAGCCGAUGUCGGAUUAGCUAGUUGGCGGGGUAAAGGCCCACCAAGGCGACGAUCCGUAGCUGAUCUGAGAGGAUGAUCGGCCACACUGGAACUGAGACACGGUCCAGACUCCUACGGGAGGCAGCAGUGGGGAAUAUUGGGCAAUGGGCGCAAGCCUGAUCCAGCAACACCGCGUGAGUGAUGAAGGCCUUCGGAUUGUAAAGCCCUUUUGUUAGGAAAGAAAAGAAGCAGAUUAAUCCCCCGCUGUUCUGACGGUACCCAAAGAAUAAGCAACGGCUAACUUCGUG
rnacentral:rRNA from 1 species